AAACUUACCUGGCAGGAGAGAUACCUGAUUGCGAAGGUGGUUUUCCCAGGGUGAGGUUUAUCUAUUGCACUUUGGUGUGCUGACCCCUGUGAUUUCCCCAAAUGUGGGAAACUCAACUGCGUAACUUGUGGUAGUGGGGGACUGUGUUAGUACUUUCCCCUG
ensembl:snRNA U1 U1 spliceosomal RNA